UACGUAGGCAGCAAGCGUUGUUCGGAGUUACUGGGCGUAAAGGGUGUGUAGGCGGUUGUUUAAGUUUGGUGUGAAAUCUCCCGGCUCAACUGGGAGGGUGCGCCGAAUACUGAAUGACUAGAGUGCGGGAGAGGAAAAGUGGAAUUCCUGGUGUAGCGGUGAAAUGCGUAGAUAUCAGGAGGAACACCGGUGGUGUAGACGGCUUUCUGGACCGUAACUGACGCUGAAACACGAAAGCGUGGGUAGCAAACAGG
rnacentral:rRNA from 1 species